UAUUGGGCAAUGGAGGAAACUCUGACCCAGCAGUGCCGCGUGAAUGAAGAAGGUCUUCGGAUUGUAAAGAUCUUUAGUCAGGGAAGAAAAAAAUGACGGUACCUGAAGAAUAAGCUCCGGCUAACUACGUGCCAGCAGCCGCGGUAAUACGUAGGGAGCAAGCGUUGUUCGGAAUGACUGGGCGUAAAGGGUGCGUAGGCGGUUGUACAAGUUAGAAGUGAAAUACCCAGGGCUUAACUCGGGUGCUGCUUCUAAAACUGUAUGACUUGAGUGCAGUAGAGGUUAGUGGAAUUCCUAGUGUAGCGGUGAAAUGCAUAGAUAUUAGGAGGAACACCAGUGGCGAAGGCGGCUUACUGGACUGUAACUGACACUGAGGCUCGAAAGCGUGGGGAGCAAACAGG
rnacentral:rRNA from 1 species